rnacentral:rRNA from 1 species
GAUGAACGCUGGCGGCGUGCCUAAUACAUGCAAGUCGAGCGAACAGACGAGGAGCUUGCUCCUCUGACGUUAGCGGCGGACGGGUGAGUAACACGUGGAUAACCUCCCUAUAAGACUGGGAUAACUUCGGGAAACCGGAGCUAAUACCGGAUAAUAUCUUGAACCGCAUGGUUCAAUAGUGAAAGACGGUUUUGCUGUCACUUAUAGAUGGAUCCGCGCCGCAUUAGCUAGUUGGUAAGGUAACGGCUUACCACGGCGACGAUGCGUAGCCGACCUGCGAGGGUGAUCGGCCACACUGGAGCUGAGACGCGGUCCAGACUCCUACGAGAGGCAGCAGUAGGGAAUCUUCGGCAGUGGGCGGAAGCCUGACGGAGCAACGCCGCGUGUGUGAUGAAGGUCUUCGGAUCGUAAAACUCUGUUAUGAGGGAAGAACAAAUGUGUAAGUAACUAUGCACGUCUUGACGGUACCUAGUCAGAAAGCCACGGCUAACUACGUG